UACGUAGGGGGCGAGCGUUGUCCGGAAUUAUUGGGCGUAAAGAGCGUGUAGGCGGUUCGGUAAGUCUGUCGUGAAAACCUGAGGCUCAACCUCGGGCGUGCGAUGGAUACUGCCGGGCUAGAGGAUGGUAGAGGCGAGUGGAAUUCCUGGUGUAGCGGUGAAAUGCGCAGAUAUCAGGAGGAACACCGGUGGCGAAGGCGGCGACCUGGGUAGAUACUGACGCUGAGGUGCGAAAGCGUGGGGAGCAAACAGG
rnacentral:rRNA from 1 species